rnacentral:ncRNA from 1 species
CCUCCGGUGAUCACUAUAGUCAUAGCUGUGUUGCAUGGGGCAUGCUGAGCCACUUAACCGAACAGCUCUAAAUAACCCCAAAGAGGUGCCCUUUGGAGCACCCUCCCGUGGAGCAGAAGAGCAAAAGCUCACUUGAUCCUGAUUUUCAGUAUGAAUACAGACCAUGAAAGUGGGGCCUCAUGAUCCUUAUGAGUUUUUGAGUUUUAAGCAGGAGGUGUCAGAAAAGUUAUCACAGGGAUAACUGGCUCGUGGCAGCCAAACAUUCAUAGAGACAUUGCUUUUUGAUCCUUUGAUGUGGGCUCUUCGUAUCAUUGUGAAGCAGAAUUCACCAAGCGCUGGAUUGUUCACUCACUAAUAGGGAAAGUGAGCUGGGUUUAAACGGUCAUGAAACAGGUUAGUUUUACCCUACUGAUGAUGAGUUGUUGCAAUAGUAAUCCUGCUCAGUACGAGAGGAACCACAGGUUCAGACAUUUGGUAUAUAUGCUUGGCUGAGGAGUUACCAUCUGUGGGAUUAUGACUGAACACCUCUAAGUCAAAAUCCCCCCUAAACAUAAUGAUACCACAGCACCAUGGAGCCUCAGAUGGCCCCAGAUAGCCA